GUGAAUGUACGGGGAGAGAACGUAAAGUUACGUCGCCGAAGGAGCAAGUAGUGAAAAAUCACUAUGAAUCUCUCAGGCAAAAAGACUCGUACAGGACG
rnacentral:ncRNA from 2 species